GUGUUACAAUGGCAGGUACAGAGGGGUGCUACCGGGUGACCGGAUGCCGAUCUCGAAAACCUGUCCCAGUUCGGACUGGAGUCUGCAACCCGACUCCACGAAGUUGGAUUCGCUAGUAAUCGCGCAUCAGCCAUGGCGCGGUGAAUACGUUCCCGGGCCUUGUACACACCGCCCGUCAAGCCAUGGGAGCCGGGGGCGCCUGAAGUCCGGGACCGCGAGGACCGGCCUAAGGCGAAACUGGUGACUGGGGCUAAGUCGUAACAAGGUAAC
rnacentral:rRNA from 1 species